UUCUAUGUGAAUGGCGGUUCCAUAUGGAGAGACCAAUCUUUCAAGCUUUAGUACAAAAACUGUGUGAAAAGCACCUUCUCCAGGAUGCAAGGUAUAUCUCCGUGCAAGAGCAAGUAGCUAUAUUUUUGUAUGCAGUAUCAAAGAACGCAACCAACAGAACAUUGCAAGAUAGAUUCCAGCACGGUGCAGAUUCAAUUAGUACUUAUUUCCACGUCGUGCUCAACGCGAUUACUCGACUCACAUGCAACUACAUACAACCUUCUGUACACCAGCAUCCCAUAUUAAGGCAACAAAAGUUUUCAUACUUUAAGGUAAUGUUUUCAAGCCCUAUCAUGGUGAACUGGUAUUGAGCAAAUUUAGCUUAUAUUUAUAUAUCUAAUUAUAGAAUUAAAUCUGCAGAAUUGUAUUGGAGCUAUUGAUGGUACUCACUUUCCCAUGACUAUUCCUCCUGGGCAACAAGACCCAUACAGAAAUAGAAAAUAAGGUCUUUCACAAAAUGUAAUGGUUGCUUGUGACUUUGACAUGAAGUUUGUGCAUGUACAUGCUGGAUGGGAGGGAUCUGCAUCAGAUGCAAGGGUUUUGCAAGAUGCACUAGACCAUGAAUUUAAUGUACCGCCUGGAAAAUUUUAUCUUGUAGAUGCAGGUUAUGCAAAUACACCCCAAUUCAUUGCUCCAUACUGAGGAACUAGGUACCAUUUACAAGAACAAGGAAGAGUUCAGCAAAGGCCACAGUGCUACAAGGAGUUAUUUAACCUUCGACAUGCACAGCUAAGAAAUCACGUCGAAAGAAUUAUUGGCAUACUGAAAGCAAGGUAUCCCAUAUGUAACGCCCCGAGACCGACGCUCCAGAAGCCUUCCAGUUAUUUCAUUGUUAUCGUGUGUUUUAAUUGUUUGUUGCAUUCAUCAUCGCAUCAUUCGCAUUGCAUCGGCACUCUGUUGCCGUCAUUGUUUUUCAAACUUGCAUCCGCUCGUAGUUGCCGCGUUCCCCCUUGCGUUCAUUGACCGUUCUGAGUCUAACCGGAUUUUUGAUUCUCUCUUGUCUGACCGUUUGACCCUCUCUGCACAACCACCCACCCCCUCGCGCGCGUCCGAAAGUUGUCCCGUACCCGACCCGGUUUGUUGUUACCGUUGGGUCCGGAUCAUCCCCUAACAUCUACAAAAUAUCUCCGUUUUCUUUAUUGGACUCUAUAGCCUAUUUUUCUCGACCGUUCAAUUUUUGAUCGGAGGGUCCGUUUUACCUUAAGCUAGUCCACCUAGCUAUUAAAACAGCCUAACCCUAGUUUUUAGGGGACUUGUCCCAUCCUCCCUAGCCGCGCCGCCACCCACUCAGCAUCUUCCUCGGGAUCCUCCAGAUCCAUCGACUAGCCACCCUCUCCUCGAUCCAAAAUCCCCCUCGCUUUCAGCACCAGGCCAACCACUGCUCGCAGCCGCCUCCCCUCUCGGCUCCCGUGCGUGUCCAGCACCAAAGGAGAGGAGCUCCUCGAGCCCUCGAUCCAGCGGGCAGGUGCCCGAGCGCCUCCUCACCUCGUCCCCGCGCCGCUCGUCGGAAGAACCGGCAGGCCACCAGAGCACCACCACUAGUGACCUCAACCACGAGGGCGUCGCCCUCAUCCACCACGCCAGGAGCCCGAGCUCUUUCUCCCGCGUUCGUGCCCUGCCUCCCGAGACCAGGCGCCCUAUGCCCGCGACCCUCGCCCGAGCCGGCGACCUCCAGCAGCAACAACCUCGCCGGAGAUGGGUUCCCCGUUGUGCCCUGCUCCCUUCCUUCCCCAUCUGCCGUCUCUCUUUUCCUCUCUGUCUCUAAUCUCUCUGCUCCCUCUCUGCCGCCUUGGACAGGGCUUCGACGCCGCCGCUGCCAUGUCUGCCUCCCUCCGCCUCCAGCUCGUCCCCAAGUCCCGCCAGCGCCGCCUCGCCAAGUCGUCGCCGUUCCCACCUUCGGGGCCCAAGCUGCGCUUCAUCACAGGCGAGUCCCUGCCGCGUCGGCCAUCUUCUCCCUCGCCUCGUUCCGCUCGUCUGCAGAGGGCGCGAGGCAUCUCUGCUGCAUCGAGCUGCUGCUCGUUCCACCACCAGCGCGCCCGAUGCCUCCUCCUCACGCGUGCCUGACCUGCGCCAAGCUCCGCCGCCGCCAUUGUUGGGGAACGUAGUAAUUUCAAAAAAAUUCCUACGCACACGCAAGAUCAUGGUGAUGCAUAGCAACGAGAGGGGAGAGUGUUGUCCACGUACCCUCGUAGACCGACAGCGGAAGCGUUAUCACAAUGCGGUUGAUGUAGUCGUACGUCUUCAUGAUCCGACCGAUCAAGUACCGAACGUACGGCACCUCCGAGUUCUACACACGUUCAGCUCGAUGACGUCCCUCGAACUCCGAUCCAGCCGAGUGUUGAGGGAGAGUUUUGUCAGCACGACGGCGUGGUGACGAUGAUGAUGUUCCACCGACGCAGGGCUUCGCCUAAGCUCCGCAACGGUAUUAUCGAGGUGUAAUAUGGUGGAGGGGGGCACCGCACACGGCUAAGAGAUCUCAAGGAUCAAUUGUUGUGUCUCUGGGGUGCCCCCCUGCCCCCCUAUAUAAAGGAGCAAGGGGGAGGCAGCCGGCCAAGAGGAGAGGCGCGCCAUAGGGGGGAGUCCUACUCCCACCGGGAGUAGGACUCCUCCUUUCCUUGUGGGAGUAGGAGAAGGGAAGGGGGAAGGAGAAAGAAGGAAGGGUGCGCCCCCCUUCCCUAGUCCAAUUCGGACCAGACCAUGGGGAGGGGUGCGGCCACCUUUUGAGGCCUUUCUCUCCUUUCCCGUAUGGCCCAUUAAGGCCCAAUACGAAUUCCCGUAACUCUCCGGUACUCCGAAAAAUACCCGAAUCACUCGGAACCUUUCCGAAGUCCUAAUAUAGUCGUCCAAUAUAUCGAUUUUUACGUCUCGACCAUUUCGAGACUCCUCGUCAUAUCCCCGAUCUCCUCCGGGACUCCGAACUCCUUCGGUACAUCAAAACUCAAUAAAACUAUCAUCGUAACGUUAAGCGUGCGGACCCUAUGGGUUCGAGAACUAUGUAGUCAUGACCGAGACACGUCUCCGGUCAAUAACCAAUAGCGGGACCUGGAUGCCCAUAUUGGCUCCCACAUAUUCUACGAAGAUCUUUAUCGGUCAGACCGCAUAACAACAUACGUUGUUCCCUUUGUCACCGGUAUGUUACUUGCCCGAGAUUUGAUCGUCGGUAUCUCGAUACCUAGUUCAAUCUCGUUACCGGCAAGUCUCUUUACUCGUUCCGUAACACAUCAUCCCGCAACUAACUCAUUAGUCACAAUGCUUGCAAGGCUUAUAGUGAUGUGCAUUACCGAGUGGGCCCAGAGAUACCUCUCCGACAAUUGAAGUGACAAAUCCUAAUCUCGAGAUACGCCAACCCAACAAGUAUCUUUGGAGACACCUGUAGAGCACCUUUAUAAUCACCCAUUUACGUUGUGACGUUUGGUAGCACACAAAGUGUUCCUCCGGUAAACGGGAGUUGCAUAAUCUCAUAGUCAUAGGAACAUGUAUAAGUCAUGAAAAAAGCAAUAGCAACAUACUAAACGAUCGAGUGCUAAGCUAACGGAAUGGGUCAAGUCAAUCACGUCAUUCUCCUAAUGAGGUGAUCUCGUUAAUCAAAUGACAACUUAUGUCUAUGGCUAGGAAACAUAACCAUCUUUGAUUAACGAGCUAGUCAAGUAGAGGCAUACUAGUGACACUCUGUUUGUCUAUAUAUUCACACAUGUAUUAUGUUUCCGGUUAAUACAAUUCUAGCAUGAAUAAUAAACAUUUAUCAUGAUACAAGGAAAUAAAUAAUACUUUAUUAUUGCCUCUAGGGCAUAUUUCCUUCAGCCAUCCCGUGCGCGCCUCCGGUCUUCCCCGCCUGGAUCCGGCGCCCUUCGUCCGUCCUCGCCGGAGUCACGCCAAGUUCCCCUGCCUCUGCAUCGCCGAGUUUUGCUGCUGUUUUGUUGGAAACGAGCAGAGGACGAGGCGCCGCUCCCCCGUGCCUCACGUUGACCGCGCCCUGCCUCCUCUCGCCUGGGCCAGCGCGCUGAUUCAAGCCAGAUCCGGCCUGCCUUGGCCUCUCCACCAAACCGGGCCGAAGCCCAUGAGUGAGCAGCACCCGUCCCUCUCCUGUGCACCGCUGGCCCAGUCAGUUUCGGCCCUGUGUUGUUUUUUUCUCUGUCUGCGAUUUUCGCCUAUUAAUGCUGAGAAAACAGAUUUGCAGAAAAACCCUUGAACUUCAUGCAUAUAAUAACUUCACAACCGUGCAUCGGAUUAAAAUAAUUUAUACAUAUUAAAUGCUUAGAAAUUUGUGUAGAUUAAUAAUUUGCCAUUUUCAUCCCAUGUUAAAAUGUUUAAAAUGUUGUUUGUUUAAUUUGCUCAAAUGCCAUGUUAAAAUGCUUUAUUUCAUAACUAAAUAACCGUAACUCGGAUUUAAAUAAACUAUAUAUAUAACUUGCUUGGAAAAAUGCCUAGUUUAACAUGGUGCACUUUAUUUUGCUGUUUAACAACAUUAGGAUUAUGUUUAUGGCAGAACAGUAGCAAAUUCAAAAUAUGCAUAUGAGGAUUUUCCGGAAUUGUUGUUUAUGGUUUCCGGCCUCUUUUAACUUGCUUAAAUAGUUAGUUUCCAUAUGCUUCACCUCUUGCCAUGGUUAAUAACAUUUAAUAUUGUUGGGUCCAUAAAUAAGAGAGAACUAAAUAAUUGAUGUGGUGUUUCUUCAAUAUGCAACUCGUUGCAUAUUGAGCUCCACUUAAUUUGUAGUGUUGUUUGUUGCACUUUGCCAUGCCAUGCCUCAUUAAACCGGACAUGCAUCAUAUUUGUUUUUGCAUCAUGCCAUGUGUAUGUGGUGGUUGUUUACUAUGUUGUUUGUUUCUUUCCGGGUUGCUUCUCUCGUUAGCUUCGGUUUCGUUCCGGAGUUGUGAGGAUUCGUUCGACUCCAUCCGUUUGUCUUCUUCAUGGACUCGCUCUUCUUCCUAGCGGGAUCUCAGGCAAGAUGACCAUACCCUCGAAAUCACUUCUAUCUUUGCUUACUAGUUGUCCGUUCUAUUGCCAUGCCGCGCUACCUACCACUUGCUAUAUCAUGCCUCCCUUAUUGCCAUGUCAGCCCUAACCUUUUCACCCUUCCUAGCAAACCGUUGCUUGGCUGAAAUCUCCUGCACUCCGUUCCAUUCAGUUAGCUUGCUCAGUAGUCCAUAAUUUGUAUGUUACCCUCUUUUCUUGGUCGACUCCCGAAACUUCCCAAGAAAAAUCCCGAAUUGGAUCCAAAAUUGAUGUUACCGCUUUUGCUCAGCCCCUUCUUAUAGCGUUGCUAGUUGCAGGUGAAGAUUAAGUUUGUUCCUUGUUGGACCAUGGAUUUUAUGAACUCUGUUGGGAUAUCACAAUAUCUCUUAUUUAAUUAAUGCAUCUAUAUAUCUGGGUAAAGGGUGGAAGGCUCGGCCUUAUGCCUGGUGUUUUGUUCCACUCUUGCCGCCCUAGUUUCCGUCAUACCGGUGUUAUGUUUCUUGAUUUUGCGUUCCUUACGCGGUUGGGUGAUUUAUGGGACCCCCUUGACAAUUCGCUUUGAAUAAAACUCCUCCAGCAAGGCCCAACCUUGGUUUUACCAUUUGCCUACCUAAGCCUUUUUCCCUUGGGUUCUGCAGACUCAAGGGUCAUCUUUAUUUUAAACCCCCGAGCCAGUGCUCCUCUGAGUGUUGGUCCAACCCGUCAGUCGCCGGUGGCCACCAGGGGCUACUCUGGGCUCGCCUAUCGGAAGCUUGGACAAUCCGGUGUGCCCUGAGAACGAGAUAUGUGCAGCUCCUAUCGGGAUUUGUCGGCACAUUCGGGCGGCUUUGCUGGUCUUGUUUUACCAUUCUCGAAAUGUCUUGUAACCGGGAUUCCGAGACUGGUCGGGUCUUCCUGGGAGAAGGAAUAUCCUUCGUUGACCGUGAGAGCUUAUAAUGGGCUAUGUUGGGACACCCCUGCAGGGUAUUAUCUUUCGAAAGCCAUGCCCGCGGUUAUGUGGCAGAUGGGAAUUUGUUAAUAUCCGGUUGUAGAGAACUUGACACUUGACCUUAAUUAAAACGCAUCAACCGCGUGUGUAGCCAUGAUGGUCUCUUCUUGGCGGAGUCCGGGAAGUGAACACGGUUUCUGGGUUAUGUUUGACGUAAGUAGAGGUUCAGGAUCACUUCUUGAUCAUUGCUAGUUCACGACCGUUCCGUUGCUUCUCUUCUCGCUCUUAUUUGCGUAUGUUAGCCACCAUAUAUGCUUAGUGCUUGCUGCAGCUCCACCUCAUUACCUCAUCUUUCCUAUAAGCUUAAAUAGUCUUGAUCUCGCGGGUGUGAGAUUGCUGAGUCCUCGUGACUCACAGAUACUUCCAAAACAGCUGCAGGUGCCGAUGAUACCAGUGUAGGUGACGCAACCGAGCUCAAGUGGGAGCUCGAUGAAGAUCUUGUUCGUUGUGUUGUUUCUUUUCAUGUUGAUCAGUAGUGGAGCCCAGUUGGGACGAUCGGGGAUCUAGCAGUUGGGUUGUCUUUUUUUAUUUUGGUUCUGUAGUCGGACCUAUGUGUGUAUCUUGAAUGAUGUAUGAUUUAUUAUGUAUUGUGUGAAGUGGCGAUUGUAAGCCAACUCUUUAUCCCAUUCUUGUUCAUUACAUGGGAUUGUGUGAAGAUGACCCUUCUUGCGACAAAACCACAAUGCGGUUAUGCCUCUAAGUCGUGCCUCGACACGUGGGAGAUAUAGCCGCAUCGUGGGCGUUACACCAUACUAAAGGCAGCUACAAUGUUUGAUAUUGACACACAAGUUGAUACUGUUGUACCGUGUUGUGUAUUGCACAAUUUCAUAAGGCUACACAAUGGAGAUAUGACACUGCCUGAUAGAGCUACAAUGGAUGUUAAUGAAAGCAAUAUGAAGGAUGUACCAGAUGGAGAUGUCAAAUACAAAAAAGAUGUGAUUGUAUUUAACAACUUGAGACAAGCUGAAAAUGAGAUGCGAGAUGCCAUGGCAAUGCAAAUGUGGGCAGAUUACAUUGCUAGAAGAUAAGCAUAUGUAUUGUGUAAUUUUCCCUUAUGUUAUGUAACUAUUUGGUUGUACUGUACUCAAUAUGGGCAGAUUACAUUGCUAGAAGAUAAGCAUAUGAUUAUUUUAGUCAAAAACUGCAGAAAGACAUUGCUUUAGGAGCCAUUUAACAUUGCAUUAAAAUUCUAAUGAGUUUGACACUUCCAUAAUCAUGUGCCCAGUAAUGCACAUGCACAACCUACUACAAGUUAAAUAUGACAAGUGCAUCAUAACCAUGUGUCCAGAGAUGCACAUGUACAAAAUAUAUCACAUCCUAUUACAAGUUACCUACGCCAAGGAUCAUAUCCAUGUGUCCAUAAAUGCACAUGCACAAAAUAUAUCUCAGUUUUAAGCUAGCCCUCCCCUAGUACGAAAUACUAGUUCAUUUGAUUAGGUAUUCCGAAUUUUUCCAGUCAACUAACCUAACCGUAAUUCGUUACUUGAAAAUGAUAGAAAUACUUCCCUGUUCUCCUUGUUGGCGGUGAAGAUGUCCGCUGCUUUUAGCAUAUCGGCCAUCGAAAGACCCUCCAACCUUUCAAGUGCUUUGAUGCAUUUCUUGAUGCUGAAGGGGUCCUUUAAUUUCCUCUCCUCAAUGGCUGCAUACCUAUCUAUUUCUUCCCUUCUGAAUUUCAGGUAUCUCUCAUGAAAAUCAUCAAUACUGGUCGUCUUUUGCUUUUUCGCUCUCUUCCUGCUAGUAACCUCAGGAGCUGAGCUAGAUGGUCGACGAUUGCGAUGUACAACUUGUGGAAUUUCAUGCAAGGUUUGUCCAACAUGUUGUGAGGAAAUUGGUAUUGCUUCAACUUGUGGAGCAUGUACUGUCAAGUCAUUUCCUUGAGCCGAGUUUGCCUCAACUUGUGGAGCAUGUACUGUCCGGUAUUUGGGAACAUCAUGAUCUCUUAAGAGUUCAAUGAGAUAUGCCUUCAUCUGAUGAUUCCACUUGGCUCUACCAGAAUUCUUAGCG
rnacentral:lncRNA from 1 species